UGGGGAAUAUUGCACAAUGGGCGCAAGCCUGAUGCAGCCAUGCCGCGUGUAUGAAGAAGGCCUUCGGGUUGUAAAGUACUUUCAGCGGGGAGGAAGGCGAUAAGGUUAAUAACCUUGUCGAUUGACGUUACCCGCAGAAGAAGCACCGGCUAACUCCGUGCCAGCAGCCGCGGUAAUACGGAGGGUGCAAGCGUUAAUCGGAAUUACUGGGCGUAAAGCGCACGCAGGCGGUCUGUCAAGUCGGAUGUGAAAUCCCCGGGCUCAACCUGGGAACUGCAUUCGAAACUGGCAGGCUAGAGUCUUGUAGAGGGGGGUAGAAUUCCAGGUGUAGCGGUGAAAUGCGUAGAGAUCUGGAGGAAUACCGGUGGCGAAGGCGGACCCCUGGACAAAGACUGACGCUCAGGUGCGAAAGCGUGGGGAGCAAACA
rnacentral:rRNA from 1 species